UNCAAAGUGAGUUCCAGGACAGCCAGGGCUA
rnacentral:piRNA from 1 species